rnacentral:sRNA from 1 species
UCGCCUUCAGUGCAGGCUAAAAUCUCCUGUUCACAAAUUACACAGUACUGUUGAUGUACGUUUUUCUCUUCUCUUCUUCAUCUCCAAAUGUGCUUUAGUCCUAACCUAGAGGGACCACCUGUGAGCGAGAGGGUAGUUUAGUCUCCAUGCUUAUUCACUCCUUGGUCUCU